GACGGGGGAUGCAAGCGUUAUCCGGAAUCACUGGGCGUCAAGCGGCUGUAGGAGGUGAUGCAAGUCACUGGUGCAAAACUCUGGCGCAACCGGAGGAAAGCCAGUGAAACUGCAUGACUAGAGUGUGGGAGAGGUAGAAGGAAUUCCCUGAGUAGCGGUGAAAUGCGUAGAUACAGGGAAGAACACCGGAGGCGAAAGCGUUCUACUGGAACACAACUGACACUGAGAGACGAAAGCUAGGGGAGCGAAUGGG
rnacentral:rRNA from 1 species